rnacentral:rRNA from 1 species
GGAAUUUUGGACAAUGGGCGAAAGCCUGAUCCAGCAAUGCCUCGUGCAGGAAGAAGGCCUUCGGGUUGUAAACUGCUUUUGUACGGAACGAAACGGUCCUUUCUAAUAAAGAGGGCUAAUGACGGUACCGUAAGAAUAAGCACCGGCUAACAAGGUGCCAGCAGCCGCGGUAAUACGUAGGGUGCGAGCGUUAAUCGGAAUUACUGGGCGUAAAGCGUGCGCAGGCGGUUCUAUAAGACAGAUGUGAAAUCCCCGGGCUCAACCUGGGAAUGGCAUUUGUGACUGUAGAGCUAGAGUACGGUAGAGGGGGAUGGAAUUCCGCGUGUAGCAGUGAAAUGCGUAGAUAUGCGGAGGAACACCGAUGGCGAAGGCAAUCCCCUGGACCUGUACUGACGCUCAUGCACGAAAGCGUGGGGAGCAAACA